UACGAAGGGGGCUAGCGUUGCGCGGAAUCACUGGGCGUAAAGGGUGCGUAGGCGGGUCUUUAAGUCAGGGGGGAAAUCCCUGGGCUCAACCCAGGAACUGCGUCCGAUACUGGAAGGCUUGAAUCCGGGAGAGGGAUGCGGAAUUCCAGGUGUAGCGGUGAAAUGCGUAGAUAUCUGGAGGAACACCGGUGGCGAAGGCGGCAUCCUGGACCGGUAUUGACGCUGAGGCGCGAAAGCCAGGGGAGCAAACGGG
rnacentral:rRNA from 1 species